rnacentral:rRNA from 1 species
CUGCUGCCUUCCGUAGGAGUCUGGGCCGUGUCUCAGUCCCAGUGUGGGGGGCCUUCCUCUCAGAACCCCCACGCAUCGUCGCCACGGUGGGCCGUCACCCCGCCGUCUAGCUAAUGCGCCGCAUGCCCAUCCGCCACCGGAUCGCUCCUUUGGCCACCGGAGGAUGCCCUCCGGUGGCGUCACGGGGUAUUAGGCCGCGUUUCCGCGGGUUAUCCCCCUGUGGCGGCCAGGUUGCAUACGUGUUACUCACCCGUGCGCCGGUCGCCGGCGGG